rnacentral:tRNA from 1 species
GCCGUGCGGGUCGCCCGCAUAGGCCUUGCUCUGCCGCGGCAGGCCGCCCAGCGGCUGGGCGCGGGCGCGGUUCUCGGCCAUGGCGCGGCUCCA